rnacentral:rRNA from 1 species
CCCUUAGAUGUUCUGGGCCGCACGCGUGCUACACUGAGUGGAUCAGCGGGUCAGGUUGCGCGAAAGUGUUUCCUAAUCUUGAAAUCCGCUCGUGAUGGGGAUUGACGGUUGCAAUUUUCCGUCAUGAACGAGGAAUACCUUGUAAGCGCGGGUCAUCAUCCCGCGCUGAAUACGUCCCUGCCCUUUGUACACACCGCCCGUCGCUCCUACCGAUUGAGUGGUCCGGUGAGGCUUUGGGAUCUGAGCAAAAAGAGCGUUUCGCUCGUUUGGCUCGGAAAACUCAGUCGAACCUUAUCAUUGAGAGGAAGGAGAAGUCGUAACA